rnacentral:tRNA from 1 species
GCGCCUGUGGCUCAAAGGAGUAGGGCACUGGCUUCAUAUGCUGGAGGUGGCAGGUUCAAAUCCAGCCCAGGCCA